AGUGAACGCUGGCGGUAGACCUAACACAUGCAAGUCGAACGGCAGCACAGUAAGAGCUUGCUCUUACGGGUGGCGAGUGGCGGACGGGUGAGGAAUACAUCGGAAUCUACUUUUUCGUGGGGGAUAACGUAGGGAAACUUACGCUAAUACCGCAUACGACCUACGGGUGAAAGCAGGGGAUCUUCGGACCUUGCGCGAUUGAAUGAGCCGAUGUCGGAUUAGCUAGUUGGCGGGGUAAAGGCCCACCAAGGCGACGAUCCGUAGCUGGUCUGAGAGGAUGAUGAGCCACACUGGAACUGAGACACGGUCCAGACUCCUACGGGAGGCAGCAGUGGGGAAUAUUGGACAAUGGGCGCAAGCCUGAUCCAGCCAUACCGCGUGGGUGAAGAAGGCCUUCGGGUUGUAAAGCCCUUUUGUUGGGAAAGAAAAGCAGCAGGUUAAUACCCCGCUGUUCUGACGGUACCCAAAGAAUAAGCACCGGCUAACUUCGUG
rnacentral:rRNA from 1 species